UGCUGCUGCACAUUAAUUAGCAAUGAAAGAAACACAUUUUACACAUUUUACAUGUGAAAAACGUGAAACACAAGCAACCGGGUGACUUCCUUCAUUUAGCACCUUUUCCAUGAGGAACAUAUGGAGCACAUGGAUUGGAAACAGCUGCUGCAUUUGGAGUCUGCACGUUUUACAUUUGUAGACUAAGAUAGCUUUCAUAGCACACUUCCAAAGCUCAUCUUUGCCUAUAAAAAGAGAGCUCAUCCAUUGUAAAUUCAACUUGAUUUGUAGUAAAGAAAUGCUGCCAAUUUUCAGCUUUCACUCUCAAGUUCAACCUUGUGCAUUGUUAUCUUGCACCUCCUCUAGCUUCUUUCCCCUUUGGAAAGCUUGCUGAGCUAGAAUUCUACCAAACACAACCACUCAAACACUUCCAGCAUAUUAUCAAACACCUUCCGUGCAUCCAGAAAUUCCACUGCAUUCUCUUAAUCUGCUGCCACUUCUCUGAGUUUUAGAGCUUCUUCUGCAUAUCCUGGAGUAGCUUCCAUCAAUAGUUGCUUGUUCUGCGAUGGCUUUUAUUAAGGCAAAGAGUCAAAGAAAGAAGAAACUCAAUCAAAUGAAAGUAAGUGGGCUAAAUUAAAGCGGGGUGGUGUAAUUGGUGCUGCUGCAAUAAAUGGUGGAGCUUUGUUGGCUAUUACUUGUGGUUAGUUGCACCUGCCAUAGCUGCAAGUCUAGGUGCUUUGGCUCCAACGUUGGGUAUUCUAAUCCCUGUAAUUUGAGCAACUGGAUUUGCUACAGUUGCUAUCGCUGUAGGAACUGUUGCUUGUUUUGUUGCUGUUGCUGCAUCAUUUGGAGGUUUAUAUUAGCUUAUAAUGUUAUUAGAUUUGCUAUAAUUCUAUCAUGUCCCGUUUCUAUGGCUUCCUUUCUCUCAUUUUAUUUUUAAUUUUAGUUUGUAGUUUGAGACUUUUGUUGUUAUAAUCAUCCAUUUACAUGCUUACACUAACUACUUAAAUAGGAUAACUUCCUCUUAGAUUGCCAUAAAUACAAAUGUUACAUGAUAGUUUGUGUUUACUUUAGAUUGUAACUAACUGAAGGAGUCAUGCGGGCCUAUAGAAUAUCUGAGAUAUCGUGUUCUGCGAUGACAACACAUUUGAUUCCUUCAAAGUACACAUUGGUUCUUAUUUGUUAACAAAUAAUAUUAUUAUUCUUAUAAAAGUGGCAAUCUGUAGGACGGUUGAUUUCUUGACAUCUUGCAUUUCUUUAUACUUUAUUAUGUCAGUCAAAUUCUUUUUUAAACAAUGAAAUUAUUUAUGUAUCUCUUUGUUCUACUUUUUCUAGCCGUAGGAGUAGGACUCUUUGGAAGCAAAAUGGCUAGGAGAGUUGGGGGAGUCGAUGAGUUUGAAUUCUAGGUUAUUGGGAAAACCAUAACCAAGGCGUAGGUUUUAAUAUCUUUCAUCUUAUUGUUUUCUAGUGACUUUGCUUUACUUCUCUGUGCAUUUGUAUGAACUCUGCCCACCUUUCUUAUAAUAUCAAAAAAAUACAUCUGUACCUGGUUAUUUUUUGAAAUUAGUUUGUUGUUGGACUUCUGCUUUCAGAGGCUACGGGUUGAGAUCUUAGUCUCUAGAUUUGUCUUUGAGAAAGAAGAUUUUAUAAGGCCCUAGGAAGGUCAUAAUGACAACUUGCAGAGGUACAUAGUGAAUAUUACCCUUUAAUGGUCAAGGUUACCUUGGAAAGCUUGAUGUUGAUAAAAAGUUACACUCUUCUAUUGAAAUCAACUUGUAUUUGUAGUUCAGUUUAUCUUGGAACUAUAGUGUUAAUAUUCUUAUGAUUGAUGGUGACCAUCCUUGCCAACAGAAAUAACCUUUCUUGUUAUCUUGCCAAAAGUUUGGUAUGUGCUGCAGUAGGAGUCCAAGAAGCUGAUUGCUGUGAGCACUACAAUUCAAGAUUGGCUUACUUCUAGUGGGUUUGAGAUUUGGGAUUCUAAUAAAAAAAUUAUUAGCACAUAAGUACCUCUUUCAAAGAUGUUUAUGUUACUGUGACUUGCAUCAGGACAUGCGAUGAAGUUGAUGAAACAAGGGGCUAUGAUGACUGUUUUGAGAUCACUCUUAACUGCUUUGGCUUGGCCAGGUGCAUUGCUUUCAGCAACUGAUUUUAUAGACAGUAAAUGGACAAUUGCUAUCGACAGGAAUUAACAUGAAUUGGAUGAAGGAAGUUGAAGUAAUAAGGAGUUGGACUCAAGAGAAGUAGGAAAAGGGCACAAAAGAAGAACCGCAGCUAGCGUUGAGCGCAAUUCUCAAUGUGGAGUUCUCUGGCCGAUGCUUAAGUGCCAACCCUGAGGGAAAAAACAAGUGCCGCAGCCAACGCUUAGAAGUACUUUUACCGUUGAGCGCCAGUUUCUUCAGUGAGUUCACUACUACACGCCUGGGCAUCAACGUUGAGCGUUAUUUCCAAGUAUCGCACCUACCGCUGAGCGUCAUUGAAGCGCUGAUCGCCAUUUGCGUGGGCCUGGGCCAGUUUUCUUGUUAUUUUUAUGAGCUAUAUAAGGUUUUAGUCGACCUAGAGGGUUUAUCUUUUGACAGAAAGAGGUGCAGAAACACUCUUUUCACCCCUCGGAGGCAGAUUUUGGAUGCGGAAGCUCCAAUCUAUAACUUUUAGGGUUCUAUCUUUCAUUGUUUUCAUUAUUUUCAUCUAGUUUCACUAUGUCUAUGGUGAACUAAACCUCCAUUGUUGUUCGGGA